rnacentral:rRNA from 1 species
AUUGAACGCUGGCGGCAGGCCUAACACAUGCAAGUCGAACGAGUGGCGGACGGGUGAGUAAUGUCUGGGAAACUGCCCGAUGGAGGGGGAUAACUACGGGAAACGGUAGCUAAUACCGCAUACCAUCGGAUGUGCCCAGAUGGGAUUAGCUAGUAGGUGGGGUAACGGCUCACCAGGGCGACGAUCCCUAGCUGGUCUGAGAGGAAGACCGGCCCCACUGGAACUGAGACACGUUCCAGACUCCUACGGUAGGCAGCAGUGGGGAAUAUUGCACAAUGGGCGCAAGCCUGAUGCAGCCAUGCCGCGUGUAUGAAGAAGGCCUUCGGGUUGUAAAGUACUUUCAGCGAGGAGGCGUUACUCGCAGAAGAAGCACCGGCUAACUCCGUGCCAGCCGCCGCGGUAAUAG